UACCCAAAACUCGAAUUGUCACCGUAUGGUGUGCGUGUCUUACAAGACUAGAGUUUUGGGUUUUUU
rnacentral:sRNA from 12 species